rnacentral:rRNA from 1 species
UACGUAGGGGGCUAGCGUUGUCCGGAUUUAUUGGGCGUAAAGAGCGUGUAGGCGGCCAAGUAGGUCCGGUGUGAAAACUCGAGGCUUAACCUCGAGAUGUCAUCGGAAACCAUUUGGCUAGAGUCCGGAAGAGGAAAGUGGAAUUCCUGGUGUAGCGGUGAAAUGCGUAGAGAUCAGGAAGAACACCCGUGGCGCAAGCGGCCACCUGGCUGCGACCUGACGCUGAGGCACGAGAGCGUGGGGAGCGAACAGG